rnacentral:rRNA from 1 species
UACAGAGGGUGCUAGCGUUGUUCGGAAUCAUUGGGCGUAAAGGGCGUGUAGGCGGUUUGUUAAGUCAUGUGUGAAAUCCCUCGGCUCAACCGGGGAACGACGCAUGAAACUGGCAAGCUAGAGUACCAAAGAGGGGGGUGGAAUUCCCGGUGUAGCGGUGGAAAUGCGUAGAUAUCGGGAGGAACACCUGUGGCGAAGGCGGCCCCCUGGUUGGAUACUGACGCUGAUACGCGAAAGCGUGGGGAGCAAACAGG